GUUUUAUGAUUUUUUUUUUUUUGUUGGCGCAGAAAGACAGAGGUGAAUUUGAAGGUCUUGAAGGUUCCAGAGAUGGAACAGAAGGGUUGAAGAGGACAAGAUUUUUGAAGACCACAAAGGAGGAGGUGAAACAAAAGCGGGGUGUUGAAGCUGUGGAAAAGGAAUUCAGAUAACUUUCAGCUGAAGAGAGGGAGAAAUUUGAAAUCCGGUCACUUGUCAAUGUUGACAAUAUAAACGUACAGAGAAACUUUAUCCCAAAGGACAACAAACUUGGAAAAGAUUACAUAGUGGUAUAUCAUCUUUUAGUGAAAUUUCGAUAAUGCCUUUUU